rnacentral:rRNA from 1 species
AGUCUGCAACUCGACUACAUGAAGCUGGAAUCGCUAGUAAUCGCGAAUCAGAAUGUCGCGGUGAAUACGUUCCCGGGUCUUGUACACACCGCCCGUCACACCAUGGGAGUCGGAAAUGCCCGAAGUCAGUGACCUAACCGAAAGGAGGGAGCUGCCGAAGGUGGAGCCGGUAACUGGGGUGAAGUCGUAACAAGGUAGC